GUAUUUUAGCCCACAAAAUAUUUGCACAAAUUUUACACAUGUGUUGUGUAAAGGCCUUCACACUAAAGGGUUGCGUCAUGGUUCUGAAAUUUGGCCCAGAGUUUUUCUGACUUAAGUCUUGUUAUUUGAUACUCUGUUUGGUUCCUAGUUGGUUGUUAUUUUUAGUUUAUAGUUACCCAUGUUAUUUUUCAUAGCUUUUCCCUUGUGUUCUUCUUGGUCAAGGCUUCUCUGCAUUUAGUUCCUGUAUUGUUUUGGUAGUCCUUUCAAAUCAUUUCAAUCCAGUUUUAUUUGCAUAGCACCAAAUCACAACAACAGUCACCUCAACGUGCUCUAAAUUGUAAAAUAAAGACCCUUCUAUAUUACAGUGAAACACCUCUCUUGUUUCUUGUACUUUUAGUUUUACUUCAUUUGUCUUGGUACCCUGAUUAGUCUCUCAGCUGUUAUUUGUUCCACGCCUGUUCCCUAUUCCCCUGAUUACCCCUUAGUGCAUCAGCUUGUAUAUAUAGCUUAAGUUUUCCGUUUGUUACUUCUGGUGACAUCUGCAUACAUUUAUUUCAAAGCAUAUUUCAAACGUCUGCAAUGGGUCCUCAUUGUGCUAGAUUAUGACAGUUUGGCUUUUUUUGACAUCAAAUGUGUUUGUUUAAUUUUUCAAGCCGCAGGUCACUCCAGGAGGGCUGGAUACUAUCCCAGCUGUCGCAGAUCAGGGACCACCACCAUCAUCCCACCCAGCCUCCAGGUCUUCUGAAACUUUCCAGUAAAGAGGGAGGAAUUUUUCAAAAAACUGGUCAAACAUGUCUCUAACAUGUCUACUUGGCAUCUUUCCAUUGUCAGAACCAAAACAUGCCAGAAUCUUCAAUCAAACUUAUGUGUUACUGUAAUCUCAUUACAUUUUUAGAAAUUCAGUAUAAAUGCUGAACAAAUUGAGUCAUUUCAUUACUGUUAUGUGUACAGUUACUGGUGUUACAGUUUUUUUGUGAGGGAUAUCAGCAUAUCGAACACACCUACUGGCAGUACAUCAAAAAUAUAAUUGGCAUCUAUUUACCGUCACAUAAAACAUGUCCAUAGCUACAAUGGUAUCGCAUAGUAGUGGUAUAUAGAACCAGCUGUGAUUCACCUACAGCUUGAGAUAUGGAGAAAUUGACUCUUUGUGAUCAUAAUGUUGUGUAUCUUGUGACAAUUAUUAUUAUAUGCAGAUUAUUUACAGUACUGACGUGCUUACA